AAGAAAAAAGAUGGAAAUUACAAAGACGUGCAAAGACGUCUUUGGAGAAUUGCAAGAGCAAAUCUAGUUUGUUCCUCACGUGCACAAAUUUUCAUAGUAAAGGCGUAUUC